ACCUUUGUGAGUCAUUUGCGUCACUCGUUUAUUGACAAGUGACGCAAAUGACUAUUACGGCUUACAUAAAUUGUGGCUGCCUUCUGCUGUUCGAACUUCAAUACUUCAAAAAUCAAACCCUAGAAAAUUCAACCUACCCCAAAAUUUCCAGAAAUUCAACAUCAAAACCCCAAAACAUUACAAAAAUUUGACCAUUAAUCAAUAAUCCCAGCAAAUGUGAGGCAAAACCCCUUAUAUUCGAGCAAAUCCGAGCCAAAAUACCAUACUUUUGAGCAAAAAAUCUACCCAAAACCCCCACAAAAUUCAAUUGCAGAAAAUCGAGCAAAUUACCUUAAAUUUCAGCAAAAUAUCAAUUGAAAACUCAAAUCAAAAGCAAGUUAAUAUUGUCCUAAUAAAAUCCUAGAUUUUUUUACAAAAAAACCAAGCAUAAUUGUGAGAAAACUUAAGUUUGAGUUUUGAAUUUUGGGUUUUUUUUUGUUCUACGAUUGAAACAGAGUUUACACACAGAUCUAAGGAAGGAAGUUGGAUUUUCGUUCAAAUUAGGAGCAAUUUGUUACGAUUCUCUGAAAGUUAGGGUUUGUACUCAAUAAUAUGGAAUUUUGGCUCUAUUGUUGCUGAAGUUGCAUAUGCAAAAUCGAUUUCAAGCAAGGAGCUGGUGAAUUUAAAUUAUUUGCAAGAGAAAAAGGAAGUGGACUUCCAUUAAGGACUUGUUCGUGUUAGGGAAAAUGAAGAUAUUGUCCCUAAAUUGAAUUAUACUAGCUUCAAAUUCCAUAUUAUUUAUUGGAUUCUUUUGUUAUAGUUCUUAGGCUUGAAAUGAACGCAUUUGGUUUACCAACAUUUGGGUUGGUCUGGUGCUUGUGUUAUUAAUGAUGAAGAUGUCAAUAUUGUUCUGUUGUAAACUUAUUUGACAGGUUGCUAAUACAAGGCGCCGUCAAUCCCAAAUUAAUGGAUAGGCCAAAAUACAAAGGAAAUUCUGUCGAAA